GCUGGCGGCAGGCCUAACACAUGCAAGUCGAGCGAGAAAGGUCUUCGGACUGAGUACAGCGGCGGACGGGUGAGUAACGCGUAGGAAUCUACCCGGUAGUGGGGGACAACAUGGGGAAACUCAUGCUAAUACCGCAUACGCUCUAUGGGGGAAAGCGGGGGACCUUCGGGCCUCGCGCUAUCGGAAGAGCCUGCGUUGGAUUAGCUUGUUGGUGAGGUAAAGGCUCACCAAGGCGACGAUCCAUAGCUGGUCUGAGAGGAUGAUCAGCCACACUGGGACUGAGACACGGCCCAGACUCCUACGGGAGGCAGCAGUGGGGAAUAUUGCGCAAUGGGCGAAAGCCUGACGCAGCCACGCCGCGUGUGUGAAGAAGGCCUUCGGGUUGUAAAGCACUUUCAAUUGGGAAGAAAGGUUGCCGGUUAAUACCCGGUAGCUGUGACAUUACCUUUAGAAGAAGCACCGGCUAACUCCGUGCCAGCAGCCGCGGUAAUACGGAGGGUGCGAGCGUUAAUCGGAAUUACUGGGCGUAAAGCGCGCGUAGGCGGUUUGUUAAGUUGGAUGUGAAAGCCCCGGGCUCAACCUGGGAAUUGCACCCGAUACUGGCCGACU
rnacentral:rRNA from 1 species